UGGGCACCAAGAAAUCCUCAGCUAAGCAUCAUCAUCAACCAGGCGUAUAGAAUAUGUACGUACAUCCUGCAUCAUCUCUGUAUAACUUAAGCAUCAUUACAAAUAAUCAAUAUAUCAAUUAUUGUUUGCUUCUUAAAAAUAUAUAUUAAGUUUGUGCUUAAUUCUCUACAUGCUUCACAAAACUGUUUGACUUCACUGUGAUAGUUCCUACGUCC
rnacentral:lncRNA from 1 species